rnacentral:rRNA from 1 species
GCAGUAGGGUGCCAUCAAGAGGUGUAUUUGGAAAUAUCCC